AGAGUUUGAUCCUGGCUCAGAUUGAACGCUGGCGGCAGGCCUAACACAUGCAAGUCGAACGGUAACAGGAAGCAGCUUGCUGCUUUGCUGACGAGUGGCGGACGGGUGAGUAAUGUCUGGGAAACUGCCCGAUGGAGGGGGAUAACUACUGGAAACGGUAGCUAAUACCGCAUAACGUCGCAAGACCAAAGAGGGGGACCUUCGGGCCUCUUGCCAUCGGAUGUGCCCAGAUGGGAUUAGCUAGUUGGUGAGGUAACGGCUCACCAAGGCGACGAUCCCUAGCUGGUCUGAGAGGAUGACCAGCCACACUGGAACUGAGACACGGUCCAGACUCCUACGGGAGGCAGCAGUGGGGAAUAUUGCACAAUGGGCGCAAGCCUGACGCAGCCACGCCGCGUGUAUGAAGAAGGCCUUCGGGUUGUAAAGUACUUUCAGCGGGGAGGAAGGGGAUGUGGUUAAUAACCGCAUCCAUUGACGUUACCCGCAGAAGAAGCACCGGCUAACUCCGUGCCAGCAGCCGCGGUAAUA
rnacentral:rRNA from 1 species